rnacentral:rRNA from 1 species
GACGAACGCUGGCGGCGUGCUUAACACAUGCAAGUCGUACGGUAAGGCCCUUUCGGGGGUACACGAGUGGCGAACGGGUGCGUAACACGUGAGUAACCUGCCCACAACUUUGGGAUAACGCUAGGAAACUGGUGCUAAUACUGGAUAUGUGCUCCUGCUGCAUGGUGGGGGUUGGAAAGCUCCGGCGGUUGUGGAUGGACUCGCGGCCUAUCAGCUUGUUGGUGGGGUAGUGGCCUACCAAGGCGGCGACGGGUAGCCGGCCUGAGAGGGUGACCGGCCACAUUGGGCCUGAAAGACGGCCCAGACACCUACGGGAGGCAGCAGUGGGGAAUAUUGCACAAUGGGCGCAAGCCUGAUGCAGCAACGCCGCGUGCGGGAUGACGGCCUUCGGGUUGUAAACCGCUUUCAGCAGGGACGAAGCUUUUUGUGACGGUACCUGCAGAAGAAGCACCGGCUAACUACGUG